rnacentral:lncRNA from 1 species
AUGGUGCUAUCUGAUAAUUGCAUGCGUCACCAUACACAUCAUUUGACACUAUUCUUUUUCUUUUUAGAUAUGAAUGUUCAGCAGAGACAUUGUCAUCAAUUCACUUCAUACAAACCAAAAGUCUCUCUGACCAGCAGCUUAAAUGUCCACGGCGAUUAUUUCUCAACCGGUCACCACCGCUUUGGCUUGGCAUGGGCAGGUAGUGGAGAGCAGUUCAUCACGGUUCUUUCACCUCCUGCCAUGGAACCACCACCCACCAGCAGCACAAAUGCUUUCAUUUGAGAUGUCAAAUGAAGGCCUUAAUUUCAGGUUGUCCUCCAGACCCUGCUUUCACAUAUCACAUUUCACAUACCGUAAAAGAAAGUAGAAAAAGUUCCCUACCUGACACAAUGGCCUCCUUGGCAUGUAGCCUGAAGCACAUCUUUACGCACAGGAGAGCUGUGCCAUUUUUCCGGAAGGACUGAUGCCUGGAGCGUGAACCUCCCUCUACCGUCCCAUCAAAAGCAGCUUAGAGAGUGAGAAUGCAGCUCCCUAAUUUCAGUGUGGACCCAUGACAGGAUAUUGACAAGCAGCUAACACAGUCCUGACACAAAAUGGUUAAGAGCAGAGAGCGGAGCAGGAGCUGGGCCGCAGAAGUAGAGACGGAAGUCACGUUUCUUCUGGACGGAGCCGCGGCUCCAUUCUUGAAAGUCACAGGCCGCGUCACCUGCUUGUGGCAGCAGGGCUCGUAAACGCUGCUCCACUUAGCAUGACUGCAAAUCUCCGCAACUUUGAUGCCGAACUGCCAGAGGCCUAACUUCCUCAGCCACGAUGACUCAAGUGCCAGAAAUGCAAGAGCGCUGAGUCACAUUUCAUCCUGGAUACGACAGAGCUUCCUCAAUGAAAUGAUCUACUUUUACUCCCCCCAACGCCCGCCCAUGUCGAGCACUCGCUGUAAUGUGCUCCCAUGUCAGCUGAUGCUUUUGAUGCGCUAUCUGUAUUUAUGGAAAUGCGUGCAUUUGGUGAUAACAUGCAAACAACAACUGUUUGUCUUUUAUCUGAAUAAAUUAUAACUUUUUUCUGUAAUUCUUGACA